rnacentral:rRNA from 1 species
GUGGGGAAUAUUGGACAAUGGGCGAAAGCCUGAUCCAGCCAUGCCGCGUGUGUGAAGAAGGUCUUCGGAUUGUAAAGCACUUUAAGUUGGGAGGAAGGGCAUUAACCUAAUACGUUAGUGUUUUGACGUUACCAACAGAAUAAGCACCGGCUAACUUCGUGCCAGCAGCCGCGGUAAUACGAAGGGUGCAAGCGUUAAUCGGAAUUACUGGGCGUAAAGCGCGCGUAGGUGGUUCAGCAAGUUGAAGGUGAAAUCCCCGGGCUCAACCUGGGAACUGCCUGCAAAACUACUGAGCUAGAGUACGGUAGAGGGUAGUGGAAUUUCCUGUGUAGCGGUGAAAUGCGUAGAUAUAGGAAGGAACACCAGUGGCGAAGGCGACUACCUGGACUGAUACUGACACUGAGGUGCGAAAGCGUGGGGAGCAAACAGGAUUAGAUACCCCGGUAGUCC